UACAGAGGGUGCGAGCGUUGUUCGGAAUUAUUGGGCGUAAAGCGCGCGCAGGCGGUCCUUUAAGUCUGAUGUGAAAGCCCACGGCUCAACCGUGGAGGGUCAUUGGAAACUGGGGGGACUUGAGUGCAGAAGAGGAGAGUGGAAUUCCACGUGUAGCGGUGAAAUGCGUAGAGAUGUGGAGGAACACCGGUGGCGAAGGCGGGUCUCUGGGCCGUAACUGACGCUGAGGAGCGAAAGCAUGGGGAGCGAACAGG
rnacentral:rRNA from 1 species